AAAAGGGACAAACCAGCACAUUGGAUGAGUGACAGUAAAUAAAAUGCACAACCAAAGAAAAUGAGUCAUUCUCUGCAGCAGUAUCGGUGUUCAAGUCUUGGUAUAAAACAGGGGAAAAUAUCAGCAGGAGGAGAGGUGUGAAGUUGAGUUCAUUAUGGGAAACAUUGCUGUGUAAAACAGCUGCACACCAGUCCGUGAAUUCAGUUGGUCUACAAGCUGAGAUGAGUCACGAGGAUCUUUUGGAAGGAGGAGUUUGGAAUCAGUUUGUUUGACCAGCUAAUCCCUGCCUGUCACGGAGGGAGGUCCAUAAAAGAUGGAUUUGCUCCUCCACCCGCCACAGCUCUUCAUUUACAGGACAGCAGCAUCCUUCCGGCCCCAUCUCCUGCUCAGCACUUUAAUCCGGCCAGAACGAAUAGAGAGAUUAAAAAGCCGAAGAUGAGACAUGAUGAAAGAGGGUCACCGCGGUCAGCAGGAUGUGGGCAGGUGAGGAGACGGGAGGCGGCGAGGACAGCGGAGAGCAGACAUGCCGGCUGGAGAUUUUUAAUCAGCACACGGCCACUUCUUCACUUCCUGGAACAUGAUGCUGUUUUCUGUGGAGGGAAGGGAAAACGUACCUGAAGCCUCUGGAUUCGAUCUCUGUCUCAUCUUUGCAGAUGGAGUCUCGAUGCGCAUGAUUCAUGAAGGGGUUGAAUCUUGGGUUUUAAAGAGAAGAAAGAUGUAAACACCUGGAUGUUUCAUUCAAUGAGGCUGAAAGGGCGAUCGACUGUGUUGAUUUAAAACGGAGCCACAGAAAUGUCCUUCAGCAACUGACACGGCAACGACAUCUCCCCUCUGGAAGAGACUUAACAAAAAAAACAACGCGUAAGUUACAAUUUAAGAAGCCUCAAGUUUGAAGCUGAACUUUAUGAUAGUGUCACUAUUUUUGUACGUUAGUGAGAACAUCGAAGACGAGAAUUUUGUUUGUUUCUUUCCAGCAGAAGUGAAAUGAUUUAAAGAUGCAGAUGCUGAUUCGUGACGUGGAAACACAGCAGACAGAACUGGGUGAAGACACAACUACAUGCAGGUAUAAAGCUUCUGCAGACAGUGAGGAGGAUCAGCUGGACGAUGAGGCUGAUUUAACAAAGACUGGGCAGUGUAUCUUCAGACAGGCACUACUAUAGACGAAGAGAAGCCUCGUGAUUUAAAUUUUAUCUCUACAGUUUCAAGAAAAACCGCUCAGGUGAGGUCCUAAACUUGUUUAUGACAAUAUAAAAACAGAAAGAGCAGCAGGUUCUCACAUUUGAGAAACUGCAACCUGUGAAUGUUUGACAAUUCUAAAUUGAUUGAUUUAACAGUGAUGCUGAGUUGUAGGUAGAAGCACAUAGAUGCUCUGCUGCCUUCCAGACAAACCAUACGGUAAGAAAUUAUGAACUUCCUGCUAAGAAAAUGCAACAGAGAAGCCAAGUGGAAAUUAAUGAGUUUUUUGUGAUGCAGAUAUCCGCAGUAUUUCAUCGCUCCUUAGACGUUCAGCACAUCACCUUAAAUCCGACUGGAAACUGUGUGUGGAUUUAAAGCUUAAAGAAUACGCCAACAUUUUGGGGAAAUAUUAUUAUAUGCUCUCCUGUCAAACAUUAGAUGAGAAGAGGGAUUAAACUGUCAUAUCUGUGUGUUAAAUAUGAAGCUACAGCUGUUCAAACGUAAGAAAAACAUUUUUAAAGCUGACAAACUAACACAAUGUGUCUUGUUUAUGACAUUGUGAAGUUAGCCGUUUCCCCUUGCCUCCAGACUUUAUGCUUGACUAACCUAACUGUCCCUUAGCUUCAUAUUUAACGCACAAAUAUCAAAUAUCUAACUUGAGUCAAUAAAGCAAAUAAGUGUAUUUCCCAAAUGUCAAGUUGCUAAAUGGAUAAACACGACUUCGUGAUGUAAACUUAAUGCUGUUGUGAUACCUAGCCAACGAUUAGAGGGACAUUAGCUGCUGUAUAAGGAGCAGUGUUUGUGUCGAUCAAAGGAAAUCUCCCCGGCGUUAAUUUCUCUCCCGUCUGGGGUUUUCCAGCUAUGACUGCAUGAGAACAGAGGUUGUUAUUACAGCGUUGUACCGGGUAGGAAUUUCCAACUUCCGACUGAGUCAAACGCAGCAUUAGUCUUUACUUCAUACAGAGUUUUUGCAGUCCAGAGCGGUGUGGAAUGAAACAGUGUGGAAAUCCAGACAUAAGUCAUCCUUUAGUGUCCAGCAUCUGAAAAGUCUGACAGUAUUCUGAGGCAUGGGCGAAGACAUUUGAUCUGACCGCACGAUGGAAAAGGCUUUGAGUGACUGUCAGGCUUGACACGAUGCUUCAUAUUUAGGGAUGUUUGAGGAAACUGCUGAAUAAGUAGUCUUGGUGUAAGGCAUAAUCCAAGAACCAUACCAGAUCCACAAAUAGUCUGCGGUGAGUGAGAACGACCGCUCACCAGGCCACACGCUGCUGAAUGUGGCCUGCCACUGUUCAUUUUGUCCUUCUUGGCAGGGACAGAACAAAAGGAGAAUUUCCCCCACGAUGCUGCGGAGCCUUGAAGAGGAAGGGACGAGGUCAGACCACACGGACAACAUGAUGUCCAUUAAUGGCCUCCAGUUGAGAGGCCGUCACCACCUCAUCAAUCCAGCAGAGAGGUCCGAUUUGGUCGUCUGUCACAGGCCGGAAGACUGGGCGGGAUGGUAGGGUCCAUUCACCUGAGACAGAUCACAGGAGGCAACGUCAGUCCAUCAUCAUGUGGUAUAUGUCCUCCUUCUGUGGAGAAGAUGAACUGAUGCGUCCACUUGCAGAUUGGCAAGAUGUGUCACCGUAGAGUCCAAGCCAACGGGCCAGUGUAUGGCAGUGUGAUUGCUGUGAAGAAGGGUGCUUUGUUCCCUAAUAACCUGAGUCUCCUUUGUUCCAAGACUGUCAGUGUGUAGUUGUAAAAAAUCCUGGUUAUUUAUUGUUUUCUAAUUAUUAUAUAUAUACUUUUUGUUGGCAUUUGCAGUGAUUUAAUUUGUGCUU